rnacentral:rRNA from 1 species
AUGCUGUGAGCUCGAUGAGUAGGGCGGGACACGUGGUAUCCUGUCUGAAUAUGGGGGGACCAUCCUCCAAGGCUAAAUACUCCUGACUGACCGAUAGUGAACCAGUACCGUGAGGGAAAGGCGAAAAGAACCCCGGCGAGGGGAGUGAAAAAGAACCUGAAACCGUGUACGUACAAGCAGUGGGAGCACGCUUAGGCGUGUGACUGCGUACCUUUUGUAUAAUGGGUCAGCGACUUAUAUUCUGUAGCAAGGUUAACCGAAUAGGGGAGCCGAAGGGAAACCGAGUCUUAACUGGGCGUUAAGUUGCAGGGUAUAGACCCGAAACCCGGUGAUCUAGCCAUGGGCAGGUUGAAGGUUGGGUAACACUAACUGGAGGACCGAACCGACUAAUGUUGAAAAAUUAGCGGAUGACUUGUGGCUGGGGGUGAAAGGCCAAUCAAACCGGGAGAUAGCUGGUUCUCCCCGAAAGCUAUUUAGGUAGCGCCUCGUGAAUUCAUCUCCGGGGGUAGAGCACUGUUUCGGCAAGGGGGUCAUCCCGACUUACCAACCCGAUGCAAACUGCGAAUACCGGAGAAUGUUAUCACGGGAGACACACGGCGGGUGCUAACGUCCGUCGUGAAGAGGGAAACAACCCAGACCGCCAGCUAAGGUCCCAAAGUCAUGGUUAAGUGGGAAACGAUGUGGGAAGGCCCAGACAGCCAGGAUGUUGGCUUAGAAGCAGCCAUCAUUUAAAGAAAGCGUAAUAGCUCACUGGUCGAGUCGGCCUGCGCGGAAGAUGUAACGGGGCUAAACCAUGCACCGAAGCUGCGGCAGCGACGCUUAUGCGUUGUUGGGUAGGGGAGCGUUCUGUAAGCCUGUGAAGGUGUGCUGUGAGGCAUGCUGGAGGUAUCAGAAGUGCGAAUGCUGACAUAAGUAACGAUAAAGCGGGUGAAAAGCCCGCUCGCCGGAAGACCAAGGGUUCCUGUCCAACGUUAAUCGGGGCAGGGUGAGUCGACCCCUAAGGCGAGGCCGAAAGGCGUAGUCGAUGGGAAAC